UACGUAGGGUCCGAGCGUUGUCCGGAAUUACUGGGCGUAAAGAGCUCGUAGGUGGUUUGUCGCGUUGUCCGUGAAAACUCACAGCUCAACUGUGGGCGUGCGGGCGAUACGGGCAGACUGGAGUACUGCAGGGGAGACUGGAAUUCCUGGUGUAGCGGUGGAAUGCGCAGAUAUCAGGAGGAACACCUGUGGCGAAGGCGGCCCCCUGGUUGGAUACUGACGCUGAUACGCGAAAGCGUGGGGAGCAAACAGG
rnacentral:rRNA from 1 species